rnacentral:rRNA from 1 species
UACGGAGGGUGCAAGCGUUGUCCGGAAUCAUUGGGCGUAAAGGGCGCGUAGGUGGCGGGACAAGCGUGCGGUGAAAGCUCGGGGCUCAACCCCGAGUCGGCCGUGCGAACUGUUUUGCUUGAGCACUGUAGAGGCAGGCGGAAUUCCGGGUGUAGCGGUGGAAUGCGUAGAGAUCCGGAAGAACACCGGUGGCGAAGGCGGCCUGCUGGGCAGUAGCUGACACUGAGGCGCGACAGCGUGGGGAGCAAACAGG